AUUGAACGCUGGCGGCAUGCCUUACACAUACAAGUCGAACGGCAGCACGGACUUCGGUCUGGUGGCGAGUGGCGAACGGGUGAGUAAUACAUCGGAACGUACCCAGUAAUGGGGGAUAACUAUCCGAAAGGAUAGCUAAUACCGCAUACGCCCUACGGGGGAAAGAGGGGGAUCGCAAGACCUCUUGUUAUUGGAGCGGCCGAUGGCUGAUUAGCUAGUUGGUAGGGUAAAGGCCUACCAAGGCAACGAUCAGUAGCGGGUCUUAGAGGACGAUCCGCCACACUGGAACUGAGACACGGUCCAGACUCCUACGGGAGGCAGCAGUGGGGAAUCUUGGACAAUGGGCGCAAGCCUGAUCCAGCAAUGCCGCGUGCGUGAAGAAGGCCUUCGGGUUGUAAAGCGCUUUUGUCAGGGAGCAAAUCCUUGUGGCUAAUACCCACCGGGGAUGAGAGUACCUGAAGAAUAAGGACCGGCUAACUACGUGCCAGCCGCCGCGGUAA
rnacentral:rRNA from 1 species